GUGUAUUGAUUUUGUGUAAUUGAUGGACGAUUAUUGUGUAAAUUGUUGUGGGCUGUUCAUGUAUGUAUUUAUCUAUGUUGAAUUGUUAAGAAUUGUUAUUGAAUUGAAGGAUGUGGGAUGUUAGCCUUGAAUGUGCAAAAUUGUGAAUUGGUCUUCAUGUUGAUUAUGGGCUUAUGCUUAGCUUAGUUUGUAUAGUUGAAUGUUGUUAUUAUCAUUGUUAUUGUAUUGUUAAUUGUUGGAAUAUGAGGAUGAUGAAGAUUGCCAUGGAAAGAGGGUAAGUUGAUCAAACUUGAUAAAUAUUGUAUAAUUGGCAUGGAAUUGAGUAUUGUG
rnacentral:lncRNA from 1 species